AAAAAACGAAAACGUAGAAACCCAAUUCUCUUCUUCUUCUUGGUAAAUCCAUUCUCUAUUCUUCAUCCUCACAUCAUACGAAUCCCUCCAGAUCGAUUUUCAGCUACUAUUCCAACCAUCAACAACCUACUACCAACAUUCCUUCUCCAUUCAUCACCCAUCAUCUUCAUACACCGUAAUCAUCUCUCAAUCACCACCGUCAUCAACUGUCCGCGCUGCGAUUCUCUCCAACCUCUCCUUCAUCCGCCGGAAAUACCGCUUAUCCGAUCCAUCACCCUCCUUGUUCUGUUUCCGAAGACCAUCACUCCAUCCGCGAAAUCGUACCACAACCAUCGCUACCUAUUCACUUUCCAAGCACAUCCUUCAUCAUCACUGUACAGCAACAUACACCUCCUUAGUUUUUGUUUUUAA